GACGUAGGGCGCGAGCGUUGUCCGGAUUUAUUGGGCGUAAAGGGCUCGUAGGCGGUUUGUCGCGUCGGGAGUGAAAACUCAGGGCUCAACCCUGAGCGUGCUUCCGAUACGGGCAGACUAGAGGUAUGCAGGGGAGAACGGAAUUCCUGGUGUAGCGGUGGAAUGCGCAGAUAUCAGGAGGAACACCGAUGGCGAAGGCAGCUCGCUGGGACGGUACUGACGCUGAGGCGCGAAAGCGUGGGGAGCGAACAGG
rnacentral:rRNA from 1 species